rnacentral:rRNA from 1 species
AUUGAACGCUGGCGGCAGGCCUAACACAUGCAAGUCGAGCGGCAGCGGGAAAGUAGCUUGCUACUUUUGCCGGCGAGCGGCGGACGGGUGAGUAAUGCCUGGAAAUUGCCCAGUCGAGGGGGAUAACAGUUGGAAACGACUGCUAAUACCGCAUACGCCCUACGGGGGAAAGCAGGGGACCUUCGGGCCUUGCGCGAUUGGAUAUGCCCAGGUGGGAUUAGCUAGUUGGUGAGGUAAUGGCUCACCAAGGCGCCGAUCCCUAGCUGGUCUGAGAUGAUGAUCAGCCACACUGGAACUGAGACACGGUCCAGACUCCUACGGGAGGCAGCAGGGGGGAAUAUUGCACAAUGGGGGAAACCCUGAUGCAGCCAUGCCGCGUGUGUGAAGAAGGCCUUCGGGUUGUAAAGCACUUUCAGCGAGGAGGAAAAGUUGAUGCCUAAUACGUAUCAACCGUGACGUUACUCGCAGAAGAAGCACCGGCUAACUCCGUGCCAGCCGCCGCAGUAA